UCUGUCGAAUGACGGCAGUCUCAUCUGAAAAAUCCAACAGAUGAUGAGGGUUUCGCUCGUUUACCCACUUAAGGGCACAGCUCACGCCACGAGCUGACGACAGCCGUGCAACACCUGUCUUAGCGUUCCCUUGCGGGCACGGCACUGUUUCCAGCGCUUUCGCUAGAUGUCAAACCCUGGUAAGGUUCUCCGGUUAUCGUCGAAUUAAACCACAUGCUCCACCGCUUGUGCGAUCCCCCGCCAAUUCCUUUAUGUUUUAGCCUUGCGGCCGUACUUCACAGGCGGCACACUUAACGCGUUAGCUACGCUACAAGAAGGGUCGAUACUUCUGAUAGCUAGUGUGCAUCGUUUACGGCGUGGACUAC
rnacentral:misc_RNA from 1 species